GGUUCGAUUCUGGCUCAGAUUGAACGCUGGCGGGAUGCUUUACACAUGCAAGUCGAACGGCAGCACGGACUUCGGUCUGGUGGCGAGUGGUGAACGGGUGAGUAAUGUAUCGUGGAACGCCUAGUAGCGGGGAUAACUACGCGAAAGCGUAGCUAAUACUGCAUACGUGCCCUUCGGGGAAAGCGGGGACCUUCGGGCCUCGCACUAUUAGAGCGGCCGAUAUCGGAUUAGCUAGUUGGUGGGGCAAUGGCCCACCGGCGACGAUCCGUAGCUGGUUUGAGAGGACGAUUUCAGCCACACUGGGACUGAGACACGGCCCAGACCUCUACGGGAGGCAGCAGUGGGGAAUUUUGGACAAUGGGGGAAACCCUGAUCCAGCCAUCCCGCGUAAAAGAUGAAGGCCUUCGGGUUGUAAAGCACUUUUGGCAGGAAAGAAACGGCACGGGAUAAUACCCCGUGCAACUGACGGUACCUGCAGAAUAAGCACCGGCUAACUACGUGCCAGCAGCCGCGUAAUGGCUGUAGGGUGCAAGCGUUAAUCGGAAUUACUGGGCGUAAAAGCGUGCGCAGGCGGUUCGGAAAGAAAGAUGUGAAACUCUAAGAGCUUAACUUUGGAACUGCAUUUUUAACUACCGAGCGCCAGAGGUCAGAGGGAGGUGGAAUUCCGCGUGUAGCAGUGAAAUGCGUAGAUAUGCGGAGGUGUCUACCUGAUGGCGAAGGCAGCCUCCUGAUAACACUGACGCUCAUGCACGAAAGCGUGGGGAGCAAACAGGAUUAGAUACCCUGGUAGUCCACGCCCUAAACGAUGUCAACUAGCUGUUGGGGGCCUUCGGGCCUUGGUAGCGCAGCUAACGUUAGUGAAGUUGACCGCCCGGGGAGUACGGCUAAUGCAAGAUUAAAACUCAAAGGAAUUGACGGGGACCCGCACAAGCGGUGGAUGAUGUGAUUAAUUCGAUGCAACGCGAAAAACCUUACUCUACCCUUGACAUGUUCUGAAUCCCGAAGAGAUUUGGGAGUGCUCGCAAGAGAACCGGAACACAGGUGCUGCAUGGCUGUCGUCAGCUCGUGUCGUGAGAUGUUGGGUUAAGUCCCGCAACGAGCGGCAACCCUUGUCAUUAGUUGCUACGAAAGGGCACUCUAAUGAGACUGCCGGUGACAAAUGGAGUAGCUGGUGGGGAUGACGUCAAGUCCUCAUGGCCCUUAUGGGUAGGGCUUCACACGUCAUACAAUGGCCGGGACAGAGGGUCGCCAACCCGCGAGGGGAGCCAAUCCCAGAAACCCGAUCAGUCCGGAUCGCAGUCUGCAACUCGACUGCGUGAAGUCGGAAUCGCUAGUAAUCGCGGAUCAGCAUGUCGCGGUGAAUACGUUCCCCGGGUCUGUACACCGCCCGUCACACCAUGGGGAGUGGGGUUUUACCAGAAGUAGUUAGCCUUAACCGUAAGGGAGGGCGAUUACCACGGUAGAUUCAUGACUGGGGUGAAGUCGCAACAAGGUA
rnacentral:rRNA from 1 species